CGUGGUCUCCGAGAGCGGGCGCAUCUCCGUCUCGGGGCCGGAGGUGAUCGAGACCAACAAGGGCGCCGAGGAGUUCGACUCCCGCGACCGCGCCC
rnacentral:tRNA from 1 species